rnacentral:tRNA from 1 species
GGAAGGGUGGCUGAGUGGUUGAAAGCUCUGGUCUUGAAAACCAGCGUAGUCGAAAGGCUACCGUGGGUUCGAAUCCCACCCCUUCCGCCA